UACGUAGGGGGCUAGCGUUGUCCGGAAUCACUGGGCGUAAAGGGCGCGUAGGCGGCCAUUCAAGUCAGGGGUGAAAGCCUGUGGCUCAACCACAGAAUUGCCUUUGAUACUGUUUGGCUAGAGACCGGAAGAGGUAAGUGGAACUGCGAGUGUAGAGGUGAAAUUCGUAGAUAUUCGCAAGAACACCAGUGGCGAAGGCGGCUUACUGGUCCGGUUCUGACGCUGAGGCGCGAAAGCGUGGGGAGCAAACAGG
rnacentral:rRNA from 1 species